rnacentral:misc_RNA from 1 species
GAUGAAGAACGUAGCGAAAUGCGAUAACUAAUGUGAAUUGCAGAAUUCAGUGAAUCAUCGAGUCUUUGAACGCACAUUGCGCCCCCUGGUAUUCCGGGGGGCAUGCCUGUCCGAGCGUCAUUGCUGCCCUCAAGCCCGGCUUGUGUGUUGGGUCGCCGUCCCCCUCUCCGGGGGGACGGGCCCGAAAGGCAGCGGCGGCACCGCGUCCGAUCCUCGAGCGUAUGGGGCCUUGUCACAUGCUCUGUAGGAUUGGCCGGCGCCUGCCGACGUUUUCCAACCAUUCUUUCCAGGUUGACCUCGGAUCAGGUAGGGAUACCCGCUGAACUUAAGCAUAUCAAUAAGCGGAGGA